rnacentral:lncRNA from 1 species
CCUGGGUGGGACCCGGGCCCUGUCCCGGGUCUGGGGUCACAGCCCUGCCUGGGCCGGAGACGCUGUCUCCCGACCUGAAACAGCGGGCACUCUUUACCGGGGGUGGGACUGUCUCGAUCCAGAGGUGGAGUAGGUAGCGAAGCUCCCAGCUCCCCUGCAACCUGUCCGGCCUCCUCCGGGCCUGGCGAUAACUAAAUUUCACAAAACACUUCCCCGGACCUCUGCCUCCUAACCGAGAAAAGGUCCACAGCAAACGACUCUCCAGAAACCACAGACUGCGAGGAAGAGAGACCCCGCGCUGAGAGUUCGCUGUCUUAAUCAAAUCAGACCCACAAC